rfam:Triticum aestivum genome assembly, contig: Triticum_aestivum_CS42_TGACv1_scaffold_499413_6BL
UGUGUACUCCCUCCGUUCCAAAAUAGUUAACUUCUAUUUGUCCAAAAAUGGAUGUACCUAUAUACUAAAACAUGUCUAGAUACAUCUAUAUUUUGACAAAUAGAAGGCAUGUAUUAUGGAACAGAAGGAGUAUAAU